rnacentral:rRNA from 1 species
CUACGGGCCGCUGCAGUAGGGAAUAUUGGACAAUGGGCGAAAGCCUGAUCCAGCAACACCGCGUGCACGAUGACGGCCUUCGGGUUGUAAAGUGCUUUUAGAGGAGAUGAGAAAGGACAGUAUCCUCUGAAUAAGCCUCGGCGAACUACGUGCCAGCAGCCGCGGUAAAACGUAGUAGGCAAGCGUUAUCCGGAUUUAUUGGGCGUAAAGCGCGUGCAGGCGGUCUAGCAAGUUGGAUGUGAAAGCUCCCGGCUCAACUGGGAGAGGUCGUUCAAUACUGUUAGACUAGAGAAUAGGAGAGGGAGGUGGAAUUCCGGGUGUAGUGGUGAAAUGCGUAGAUAUCCGGAGGAACACCAGUGGCGAAAGCGGCCUCCUGGACUAUUUCUGACGCUAAGACGCGAAAGCUAGGGUAGCAAACGGGAUUAGAUACCCGGGUAGUC